CAUUAGAUGACUGAAAAGCAAGUAAUGGUCUCUUAAGCCAAAAUAUAGUAUAUAGCAAAUGCUUCUAAUGA
rnacentral:tRNA from 1 species